rnacentral:rRNA from 1 species
CCUACGGUGGGCAGCAGUGGGGAAUAUUGGGCAAUGGGCGCAAGCCUGACCCAGCAACGCCGCGUGAAGGAAGAAGGCUUUCGGGUUGUAAACUUCUUUUAUUAGGGACGAAACAAAUGGCGGUACUCAAUGAAUAAGCCACUGCUAACUACGUACCAGCAGCCGCGGUAAUACGUAGGUGGCAAGCGUUAUCCGGAUGUACUGGGUGUAAAGGGCGUGUAGGCGUGACGGCAAGUCAGAUGUGAAAACCAUGGGCUCAACCCACGUCCUGCAUUUGAAACUGGAGUUCUUGAGUGAUGGAGAGGCAGGCGGAAUGCCGAGGGGAGCGGUGAAAUGCGUAGAUAUAAGGAGGAACACCAGUGGCGAAGGCGGCCUGAUGGACAGUAACUGACGCUGAGGCGCGAAAGCGUGGGGAGCAAACAGGAUUAGAUACCCCUGUAGUC